CUUCAUAGAAAAAACACAGCGAGAAGGAAAAAUAGGAAAGACUUGAAACGUUCUACAACUGGUCAAUCGAUAAUGUCCUUUCCUUAUUCUGCAAUAUAUUCGGAAUUUAUUGAGGGUAUGCAUAGAAUAUUAUUUGAUUUGGAAGCCCUCAUUGACUCCCGUCGCGGUAAUACCGAGUCCCCCAACCAGGAUCCGCAGGAUCAGCAGGCUAUCGGGACAAAGCGUUCAAUGAACGAAGAAACCGAAGACGAUAUCGAGGCGAUGCGUCAGAUCAAGCGACGUCGCAAGGAUAAUUAAAUUAUUUCACAAGAAUACACGCACUAUCAAGGGUAUAGCUACCUCUGCCUCCAGACAAAGAAAAUGUAAUCAUCUAUCAGGAACAGAAUCAAGAAUACACUCGCGGUUGACAGAGAUUACAAAAGGAUCACAAAUAAUUUUUACAUACAUAUGUUGCAUCA